GUGGGGAAUAUUGGACAAUGGGCGAAAGCCUGAUCCAGCCAUGCCGCGUGUGUGAAGAAGGUCUUCGGAUUGUAAAGCACUUUAAGUUGGGAGGAAGGGUAGUAACCUAAUACGUUGCUACUUUGACGUUACCGACAGAAUAAGCACCGGCUAACUUCGUGCCAGCAGCCGCGGUAAUACGAAGGGUGCAAGCGUUAAUCGGAAUUACUGGGCGUAAAGCGCGCGUAGGUGGUUCAGUAAGUUGGAAGUGAAAUCCCCGGGCUCAACCUGGGAACUGCCUCCAAAACUGCAUGACUAGAGUACGGUAGAGGGUAGUGGAAUUUCCUGUGUAGCGGUGAAAUGCGUAGAUAUAGGAAGGAACACCAGUGGCGAAGGCGACUACCUGGACUGAUACUGACACUGAGGUGCGAAAGCGUGGGGAGCAAACAGGAUUAGAAACCCCGGUAGUCC
rnacentral:rRNA from 1 species